UGAAACCGACAGCUUUUCAGCUAUCUUUAAAGUGAAGCGUUCUGCUAGCUAGCAAUCUUUCUCCUUACAAUCGUAUCUUUUAUCGAAUGACAAUCAAAAUCUGAGAAAAUAGGACUGCCGUUUCUUACCGUAUAUAUCAUGUAAAAUAAUGUCUGUUUUUAGUUGUCAAUUCCCGGCUAUUCAACAACCGCGCCAAAAAACAGAAGUGGUCACAGAGUCUGGCCAAUAGGAAACGAGCUACGAGAAGGAGUGCAUGUUUUAAUGUACAGUAACGUUUGUCCGGACGGGGUUGUGUGUAUUUAUCCACGAUUUUGUCAUUUACUGUAACACUGUUUGAUGACAGAGAAUGUCAGAUAGCCUUGAUAUUAGCAAUUUGAGUACUGACCUAAAACAUUCGUAAAAUAAGCAUGAGUAUUGCUCGUCGGAUUUGCUGCCGCCUUCCAGGUAGAUCCUUUAAACUAUAUUUAACGUCACCUACGCUGGUCCCUCCCCCCCCGGUACCUCCUAGACUGUCUGGAAAGUUCUCUGCCCUUCUUUAAGCGUCUGUGAGAUGCCAGAUUGCAGGAUAACGUGGACUGAAGGCAACAUUGCGUAAACCUCGUAUUAUAAGCCGAUAGCAGCGUGACUGGUGAACUAUAGCAAAGGACCUCUGUUGCUAGUUGGAAGUUGUGCUGUAUUCUCGAGGAAGUUAAGCCAGCUAGUAAACGUUGAUCAGGUUAUUGCUUGCAGCACUUGAUCUGAGGAGUAGUAGGGGCUUUAGCCACCGUCACUAUUAGCCAGUGUUAGUUUGGAUUGUUGUGCAAGGCAGAGAAGGGACAGAUCAGCUUCAUGACGAUGACUGCAGAGGAACAAACAAGUGAAGUACAACAUACAAUCCCCCUGGAAGGAGAGGACAUCACACCAAAGAAAGAUGGGGGUGUUUUAAAGGUGAUCAAAAGGGAAGGUACAGGCACAGAACUGCCUAUGUCCGGCGACAAAGUGUUUGUACAUUAUGUGGGCACACUUCUGGACGGGACUCAUUUUGACUCCAGUAGAGACAGAGGAGAGAAGUUUUCCUUUGAGUUGGGCAAAGG